rnacentral:rRNA from 1 species
AGUGAACGCUGGCGGUAGGCCUAACACAUGCAAGUCGAACGGCAGCACAGUAAGAGCUUGCUCUUACGGGUGGCGAGUGGCGGACGGGUGAGGAAUACAUCGGAAUCUACUUUUUCGUGGGGGAUAACGUAGGGAAACUUACGCUAAUACCGCAUACGACCUACGGGUGAAAGCAGGGGAUCUUCGGACCUUGCGCGAUUGAAUGAGCCGAUGUCGGAUUAGCUAGUUGGCGGGGUAAAGGCCCACCAAGGCGACGAUCCGUAGCUGGUCUGAGAGGAUGAUCAGCCACACUGGAACUGAGACACGGUCCAGGCUCCUACGGGAGGCGGCAGUGGGGAAUAUUGGACAAUGGGCGCAAGCCUGAUCCAGCCAUACCGCGUGGGUGAAGAAGGCCUUCGGGUUGUAAAGCCCUUUUGUUGGGAAAGAAAAGCAGCAGGUUAAUACCUCGCUGUUCUGACGGUACCCAAAGAAUAAGCACCGGCUAACUUCGUG